rnacentral:tmRNA from 1 species
ACCCUUCCAUAUUACGCCGGAUGCGCCUACAUCCGGGGUGUUACGCCUUCGGGCAAGACUAUGGCGAUAAACGGUGCGUGGAAUAAUCGUUGUGGACCCGGGGGCAGUGCCCGGCGCCUCCACCAACUUCUCUCCGGGACAUGCGAGUGUCCGGGAGAGCAUGGGGGCGACACAGGCUCGACACGCGUGGUAAAGACCCACCUUUUGCCCGGCAUUGUACCGCCGUUAUCGGGCUAAAACACAGGUGCCAACGAUAACUUCGAGGCGCUCGCUGUCGCUGCAUAAGUGACAAGCGCGGUACGGGGGGGCACCGGGCAACAGAAGCCCCCCCACU